rnacentral:tRNA from 1 species
GCCACUUUAGCUCAGCUGGUAGAGCGUCGCAUUCGUAAUGCGCAGGUCGGGGGUUCAAGUCCCCCAAGUGGCU